rnacentral:rRNA from 1 species
GACAGAGGGUGCAAACGUUGUUCGGAUUUACUGGGCGUAAAGCGCGUGUAGGCGGUCCGGUAAGUCCGCUGUGAAAGUCGGGGGCUCAACCCUCGAAUGCCGGUGGAUACUGUCGGGCUAGAGUGCGGAAGAGGCGAGUGGAAUUCCUGGUGUAGCGGUGAAAUGCGCAGAUAUCAGGAGGAACACCUAUUGCGAAGGCAGCUCGCUGGGACGUAACUGACGCUGAGACGCGAAAGCGUGGGGAGCAAACAGG